ACGGGAGAGUAACACGUGGGAACGCGCCCUUCGGUUCGGAAUAACUCAGGGAAACUUGGGCUAAUACCGAAUACGCCCUUACGGGGAAAGAUUUAUUGCCGAAGGAACGGCCCGCGUCCGAUUAGCUUGUUGGUGAGGUAACGGCUCACCAAGGCGACGAUCGGUAGCUGGUCUGAGAGGAUGACCAGCCUCACUGGGACUGAGACACGGCCCAGACUCCUACGGGAGGCAGCAGUGGGGAAUAUUGGACAAUGGGCGCAAGCCUGAUCCAGCCAUGCCGCGUGGGUGAUGAAGGCCCUAGGGUUGUAAAGCCCUUUCGGCGGGGAAGAUAAUGACGGUACCCGCAGAAGAAGCCCCGGCUAACUUCGUGCCAGCAGCCGCGGUAAUACGAAGGGGGCUAGCGUUGCUCGGAAUUACUGGGCGUAAAGCGCGCGUAGGCGGCUUCUUAAGUCGGAGGUGAAAUCCUGGAGCUCAACUCCAGAACUGCCUUCGAUACUGGGAGGCUCGAGUCCGGGAGAGGUGAGUGGAACUGCGAGU
rnacentral:rRNA from 1 species